UUUUCUUCGCUUUCUCAUCAUACUGGCAGCGUCCUGCAAUUGGCUAUUUUGCUUUACAGUGAGAAGGGUGUUUUUUCUCCUCUGACAGAUCAAUGUUUUCUCCUGAGGCAAAAAAAAAAAAAAGAGGCGGAAGAGCCUGUCCUGGAUGCCUGACGGAGGAAUAAAUGUAGAGCUUAAGAAAAAUUUGUUGAUGAAAUUUGCACAAAGUUGUUUUUCCAGUAUUGAAAGAUUGACAUCAAGAGUAGAUGAGAUACAGAGACAAGUUGGGCAAGGCUGGGCUCAAAUUGGACGGGGGGGAAUCCCCCAAGAUCCAACCACAACCCAAGUUCUGCCCAUUUGGGAUACCAAAAUGAGAUGCCACUCACAACAGAUUGUGCAGGUGUUCAAAUCUGAUCAUACAUGUUCUGCUGGGCUCCUCAGGCUUGGCACCCCUCUGGAUUUGGAUACACCCACUGCAUUAUUAAGAUGCAGGAACUACAGACAAGUGUCUAAGGCCCUGGCUCCAAGUAUUACUUGAUAAUGACAGAAUCUCAAUGUUCAUUACAAAUAAAAGCGUCUAAAAACAUGAACCACGGAUAACUGAUGCAAUAAUGUGCAUCCGAGUCUGCAGACAGCAUCCAGCAAAGGCAGCUGUUAUAGCCAGAGAGGAAGCUGCCUGGCCUGAAAUUCAUCGUCGAUACAGACCAAGCCCCUGCUGAUCUGAGGGGACCUGGCCUGGUCAAGGUAAAGUUUUGAGGAUUGGCUGUCCCUUGGCAGCUCAGAGACCCCCCUAGGCUCUGUUCUUCCCUCUAACCUUUAGCUUCACUGGUCAAAUUGAGGAGGGGGGCUAGGGGGAAGUGGUAAUACUCUCCCAAAUGCCUCCCAAUUGUGACACCAGAAUGGACAUCACUCACUGUAAAUUGCACACAUCUUCAUAAUAUGAUCAUCCCUUUCCUUUCUCAUAUGCUGUGAUCAGCAGCCCUGAGCAAGUCACAACCUCCAUCUCAGCUUCCCCAUCUGUAAAAUGGGGAUAGUGAUACACCAAACUAGCAGGUUUUGACCUUUCAAUAGAGAGCUGAUUCUGGAGAACAACUUACUUCUGUGAUUGAAAAAUUCUCUCUGGAAAGCUGAUGGAGCAUGAGAAUGGGGAAGGAACCACUAAGUCCAGGCUACAAUUGAUUGCUGGGGACAACAAAGGAGAAAAGAGGAACAGGAGUGAGGUUAAAGACUGAAAAUCUAUGGAAACAGAGCAGAGAAUCCCAGAAAGCACCCACCACUUUUCAAAGGCAUCCAAGGAAACAGUAGACUCUGCCCAGAGGAACUCCGCCUGGAGAUGUGAGCAGACAAGGGACAAUAAAAAGGCCCCACAAUUGCAGAGUACCCCCCCUCAUCCAGCUUCCUCCUCUUGGAGUGAUAGAUGGCUAUCUUGGCCAGUGUCCAGAGGAGGUUGACAAGAAGGUCCCAUUACUUUGUGGGGCCAUGGAUGAACUGUACAUAAAGCAGGAGGGGGGGGGGGAAGGGGCAGCCAGAACCUCAGGAGGAGGUUCUGGAUGAUCCACAAGAGGGGCUGCAACCUGCUGCACUCUACAUAGAUCUCAGGGGUUGCUGUAGAAGGAACAUGUAUCAGAAGAGUUUGUGAACCAUGCCAGUACAUGCCUGUCCUUACAGCUCCACGUAGGAACUGCCAGUUAACAUUUCUGGUGGGCCAUGGAAUUACAGUGGAGUACAGACAGGCCAACCAGGGUUCCUCACCCUCCACUGGUGGCAAUAGGUUCCUCCACUUGGUGUUGGAUGGGACACAAGGGUGAGGAAGUGAAUGGUAUGAAGAAUGAAUGCUUACAGAUAUUCUCUGGGCACAGCUUGGAGGCAGACCUAGGUGGCAAGUUGGAGGCAGCCGGGGGCAGGGCUCGUAGAGCAGGGACCCAAUAAUGAGUUCUGGAGGGCCAGAGAUGAGGGGGUGGACACAAAGCACACUCAUGCAGGACCCACUCAAGGAAAGUCAGAAUCAGGAGCCAAGGCUGCCCUCACUUCCCAGAGCACACAACAUUGGAGAUGCAGGCUGGGCAGCCUCAUGCACUGGCCGAGCACCACAGGGUCCACCCAGUGUCUCAGAUCAAUUCUGAUGGCACCAGCCAGGACUAUCCUCUGGAACACCAAGGGUGACACCACCACCUGAACACAGAGAUGGGAGCUGUGUGUAGCAGGAGUUCUGCAGCACACCGUGGAACUUUUAUUGCAUGGAGGCCAGUUAUUGUGUGGCAGGAUAGUGUGCUGUAUAUUUACAUCCCAGUUUACUGUGCACUGCCAGUGUAGACAUGCCCUCACUCCCUGUGUGAUUCAUCUCCUGGGUGUGGAACACAGCAUAGCAGUUACCUGACUUAGAGGUAUAGGAAAGACCCUGCAUUAACUUGUUUAGCUGUUUGCUAAUUUGAGGAGUCCCCAGUGAAAAUGCUGAUCAAAACCCCCACACAACAAUUGAAUGGGUCUUUUGGUCCUGUCCCACACUCCAGCAUAUAUCCUAUGUUGCUAGUUACUCAUUCUUUAUUAUGUAGUUAUCAAAUAAAACUUUGUAAUAUGUGUUUUGCAUAAAUUAGUUAAAUAUAUUGUAAAACAAUAUACCAAAGAGAAGCUGAAACAUGAACAUUGCCUUUAUGUUGUAAAAAGUUUAACACUGUGUGGCAGGUGUUCUUCAUACUGUAAUGCAGUUUUGUUUGUAGAACAUGACAAAUGGAAUGGGCAAGAUAAACUGAAAUGUUACUAUUUAUUUCUUAUGUAUAACAUUAUUGUAACAAUGUUUUCAAAAGUGCAAGAUUAAUUCCAUACAUGUGUUCAGGGUGUAGCAGACUGUUGGGAACCAAGUGUUUCCUCUUUUUAUACUCCCUUAUAAUGGCUGCACUAUAUAUUUGAGUUUUUACAAUACUUUCCUCAUUGCCAGAUAGUUUGGGGUUCAAAAAUAAAAUCACAAAACUUCUGUUAAAUGUGUUUUUGUUUUGGUUCUUUAAAUAAAAAAAAAUUCUUAGUA